UUCAGGCACUUAACUUCUAACACUAGUGCGUUCUCCUAUCUACACAACUGGUCUUGCGGGCACCUGGCAUAUCUAUUUUCUCUUGCCAGGGAAUGGGGAACACCCCAGGGCAGGGACUCUCUCCACAGCCUUGAGGUGGAGCCCAAUUCUGAGCUGCGUAUUCGUGACCAAGGGCAAAGAGCUGGCUCUCAUCUUUCAGGGGACACAGUGGACAGAGAGAGUGUGCUGUCUGGGAAGGACGGAGUCCCGGAGGGCCAUCCCUGACCAUUUCUGCCAGUCCCAGGGUCAGGGCCCUUGCAGAGGCGGCCCUUGUCUUCACCUGGGCAGGGCUGUGGGGAGAGGGCGGCACUCUCCAGGCCUCCCAGCUGCACCCCUGCCAGACAGAGAACGCUUGCGAGGCACGCCAGGUGCGACCAAGUGCACCAGAUUCGAAAAACUUAGCCAAACCGCCCUAGGUUUGGGGCCGCGGGCAGCAGCAGAGGAGUCUGAUAGGUAAGAAGGGUCAAUUGAGAGUUCCUCCCUGCUGGGCUCAGCUCUAGGAGGACUCAGACUGACCCAGUGAUGGCCCACAUUGAACUGGAGAAUCUUGGACCAGAUUUUGGAGGGCUUUGAUUCUGCACAUGCUGGGUGAGGUGUCAGAAAAAUAUGACUUACCACUAGCAAAAAUAUCCCUUCACUUUCUUGAGGAGGAGGCAAAAGGCAAAACACAGAAAGGGGGUGAGUAAUUGGUCUUGAACAAUCAAAGGUAAAUAAUUUUGCUCUGGGUAGCCCUGACUUUUUGGGAAAAGGAGUAGUCUUUUAUAAGUGUUCCCAAAGGUAAAGACUUAUACAUAUGAAGACACAGAUGGAAAUCUGUCAUUCCGUGGGAAAAAGAAGUUAACACACCAAAAAGCACGCUAGCUCUGACCUUUGUUUCCCAGAGCAAGGUGUCCUCAGAAAGCUGGGUGGCAUAGGAUGACCUUCUGGUGAUUGCCUGUUUGGCUGAAUCACCUGUCGGAGGGCGGCGCUCUUCAGGCCUGACAUUGGCUUAUCCUACUUGAAGCAGGCUUGAACACAAAUCAUGCCUACUCAUGAGUAUUUGAACACUGAGCUUUCUCACAGGUCAGUGUUUCCUUCAACUAAUCACAGACCUCAGACCGCCCAUACCCAUCUGUGAAGGAUGGAAGUUGAUGGUAGGUGAGGAUACUGAGUCUCAGAAAGGUUAAGUGAGUUGCCCGAACUUACAGUACUACUAAGUGGAGAAGCCGACUUUUGGAUCUCAUGGACCGCACAUCUAUUCCAGGUGUGGACGCUUAGCCAAUAAGCUAUAAUGCCUCCCAGGAGAGGAUGUGCUUUGAGGUGACCCUUGAACAUGGGUAGAAUUGGGAUAAUCAGAGAUAAGGAAGGACAAUGUGGAGUUCCUGUCCUGGCUGGAGGAAACGAAUCUGACUAGUAUCCA